rnacentral:lncRNA from 1 species
GCUGAGAAUGCCAAGAACCAUGUGGGUCCUCCUCCCUGUCCUGCUGAGCACCCUGCUUUGUGUACAGCCAGCUCACAGUCUCCAUUGCUAUAACUGUACAGGGGCAAUGAAAUCCAGUCAAUGCAACUCUAUUGCAUGCUCCGUGUCAGACACUCGCUGUGGGAGUUUUGAAAUUGCAGAUAAAAAUGGACCAGGGAACAAAAUAAUAUACUUCAAAGGUUGUACUAAUACUUCCUGUGGAGAGUUUUUCAUGGAAUUAUGGGGCAAGGCCAAUAAAGAGAUCCCUACAUCUCUUUUACAAGUGGAUUAUAGCUGCUGUUCGAAGGAUCUGUGUAAUGGGGCAGAUGGGGUCAGAGGCAGCCCCUUGGCCCUGAUAGGGACACUCCUGCUUAGCUUUGGACCUGCCUUCUGGGCCAUGCUGUGAGGGCUUCAGUCACUUCCUCGUGGACCCUGCCUGGUGGUUUCUCUUAUUCCUCAGGAACAGAUAUUCAAGUUUCUCUCUGCACCUCCCCUCCCCUGCUUUUAGACCAAUUGCAAACAGAAUUUACCAGAAUUUUGUCAGUUCUGAUGGAUGCAAAUACAUGUGUGAGGACACAUAACAGACACACAUCUACAUAGACAGAUGCACAGAAACAAAAUAGACAUUUACUGUUCCAUGGAGUUAUCAAUGCCUCUGUACUGUUUAUUAGCAGUGAGAGCUACCCAAGAACUAUUAAACACUCAAUCCCUAUUGGAGGUAUCUGUGGAGGAUUCCUCAGAGACCUAUUUCUCUGGUUAUCUUUCUUUUCUUAGUUUCAUUUAUGCCUUUUAUUUUUAUAUUGCAUCCUUUUCUAAACAGAUCCAUCCCAUCCUCCCCCUAGUCAAAAAGUCAUACCUUAUACCAAAGGUUAAAAGAAACAAAAGCAUUUCAGCAAAAUCAUCUGCACAAUGAGUGACCAAGUUUACCAGACUAGGGGAUACUUUGCACUCAGACUCCCUUACCUCUCCAAUGAAAGGAGAGAGGUGAAUUUUCUUAUCUGUUCUCUGGGUCCCAAUUAAGCAUUAUAAUACAAUGUUUGGUUUUAUUUUAAAAAUUAUUUCAAUUUAAUAUUUUUAUUGUCAUUAUGUUUGUGUUUUUCUUGUUCUGCUUGCUUUAUUCCUCAUCUGUUCCUAUGUCUUCCCAGGUAUCUCUUGAUUUUUUUUUAAAUUUGUUGUUUCCUACAGUACCAUUCAUGGGCAGUUAGAUGACUCAGUGGAUCUAGUGCUGGGCCUGGAGUCAGGAAGACUCAUUUUCCUGAGUUCAAAUCUGGCUUCAGACACUCACUAGCUGUGUGACCCUAGGCAAGUCACUUAAUGUUGUUUGCCUCAAUUUCCUCAUCUGUAAAAUGAGCUGGAGAAAGAUUUCAAACUAUUUCAGUUUCUUUGCCAAGAAAACCCCAUGCAGG